rnacentral:rRNA from 1 species
UACGUAGGGGGCUAGCGUUGUCCGGAUUUAUUGGGCGUAAAGAGCGUGUAGGCGGCCAGGUAGGUCUGCUGUGAAAACUCGAGGCUCAACCUCGAGACGUCGGCGGAAACCAUCUGGCUAGAGUCCGGAAGAGGAGAGUGGAAUUCCUGGUGUAGCGGUGAAAUGCGCAGAUAUCAGGAGGAACACCAAUGGCGAAGGCAGCUCGCUGGGACGGUACUGGCGCUGAGACGCGAAAGCGUGGGGAGCAAACAGG